AGACGAUUCUUCAUUCCUCAAGCCAACGCAGAGCGAUUACCUUUUCAAUUAUCUUAUAGCUUUUUUCUGAUCCUUUUCUAAAAUGGCUUUCAAAGCUAUGCUCCUUUUGUUCACCACUCUUCUUGUGGUCACCACAAGAGUUUCAUGUCAUGACGAUGAACUCUCAGAGGCACCCACUCAUCCACCAAAUCGACAUCAUCCAUCUCAUGGUCCUCGUCAUGCACAUCCACCAAAGGCCACCCGCCACUUAUGCACAUCCACCAAAGGCACACGCUCAUCCACCACAUCAUGAACAUCAUUGCACCAUCUCGAGCUCCUCAUCAUGCACAGCCACCAAAGGCACACCCCUUCUUUUGCACCACUGCCCCCAUUGAAGUCAGCACAUGAUUGCACACCUGUGUGUUUUGAGAGAUGCAACCCAGGUAAAGGGAAGAAAGAGUGCGAGAGAGCAUGCACGAGAUGUUGUAAACAAUGCUUGUGUGUUCCACCAGGACCACGCGGUACUAACUUGGAAAAAUGUGGCAAGUGCUUCUUCGAGGUGACCCAUCACGGCCAAAUAUACAAGUGCGCUUGAAGCAGCCUAUAAUAUAUCAUCACUUGCUGGUUAUAUUGAUAAGUCUGCAAUAAGUAUUAAUUUCAGCAAUAAAGUUUGUAAUAAGUAUCAUAAAGGUGUGAAAAUAAUUUGUUUUUAAGUGUACUUUCUACUAUUUAAUUUCCUCCAGCAAUAAAUUUGUCCAUAUAGUGUUAGGCCAAGACUCUUGUAUACCAUGGUGCGGUGCCUACCAUAUAUUCCCAUAUAGAAUUUCAGAUAUUAAUAUAUUUACCAGAUUUUCCUUAUAUAUAAAUGAAUUUCCAGUGUC